rnacentral:rRNA from 1 species
UAGCGGCGGACGGGUGAGUAACACGUGGAUAUAACCUACCUAUAAGACUGGGAUAACUUCGGGAAACCGGAGCUAAUACCGGAUAAUAUUUUGAACCGCAUGGUUCAAAAGUGAAAGACGGUCUUGCUGUCACUUAUAGAUGGAUCCGCGCUGCAUGCUAGUUGGUUAAGGUAACGGCUUACCAAGCGCAACGAUGCAUAGCCGACCUGAGAGGGUGAUCGGCCACACUGGAACUGAGACACGGUCCAGACUCCCAGGGAGGCAUGCAGUAGGGAAUCUUCCGCAAUGGGCGAAAGCCUGACGGAGAACGCCGCGUGAGUGAUGAAUGGUCUUCGGAUCGUAAAACUCUGUUAUUAGGGAAGAACAUAUGUGUAAUAACUGUGCACAUCUUGACGGUAACCUAAUCAGAAAGCCACGGCUAACUACGUGCAGCAGCCGCGGUAAGUAGGUGGCAAGACCGUUAUCCGGAAUUAUGAUGGGCGUAAAGCGCGCGUAGGCGGUUUUUUAAGUCUGAUGUAGCCCACGGCUCAACCGUGGAGGAGGUCAUUUGGAAACUGGAAAACUUGAGUGCAGAAGAGGAAAGUGGAAUUCCAUGUGUAGCGGUGAAAUGCGCAGAGAUAUGGAGGAACACCAGUGGCGAAGGCGACUUUCUGGUCUGUAACUGACGCUGAUGUGCGAAAGCGUGGGGAUCAAACAGGAUUAGAUACCCUGGUAGUCCACGCCGUAAAAUGAGUGCUAAGUGUUAGGGGGACUUUCCGCGCCUUAGUGCUGCAGCUAACGCAUUAAGCACUCCGCCUGGGGAGUACGACCGCAAGGUUGAAACUCAAAGGAAUUGACGGGGACCCGCACAAGCGGGGAGCAUGUGGUUAAUUCGAAGCAACGCGAAGAACCUUACCAUUAAUCUUGACAUCCUUUGACAACUCUAGAGAUAGAGCCUUCCCCUUCGGGGGACAAAGUGACAGGUGGUGCAUGGUUGUCGUCAGCUCGUGUCGUGAGAUGUUGGGUUAAGUCCCGCAACGAGCGCAACCCUUAAGCUUAGUUGCCAUCAUUAAGUUGGGCACUCUAAGUUGACUGCCGGUGCAACCGGAGGAAGGUGGGGAUGACGUCAAAAGUCAUCAUGCCCCUUAUGAUUUGGGCUACACACGUGCUACAAUGGACAUUUAAAAGGGUAGCGAAACCGCGAGGUCAAGCAAAUCCCAUAAAGUUGUUCUAGUCCAGUUCGGA